GGCGCCGCGCGCUGGAAGGAGCCCGCCGCGGUCCCGGGCAGCCACGGGCCCCGGCCGCCGCCGUCCGGGGAGGGGAGGGGGAGCCACGUGCGGUUCCGAGAGCAGCCGCCUCUUCCCACCAAGCCCCCACCCAGCCCUCUGUCCCCUGCUCCGUUUACUCCCAGUUAUCAAGACGGCCCUCCUCCAGGAUGUGUGUGGAAUAGAAAAGGUACAAGGAGCCAGGGAGUGGGAGGAGGAGGAUGAGGAAGAGUCACUGAAGAAAAUACCUAAACAAAGGACAGUCCCUCAAAACUGGCUCAGCACCCUAUUUGCAAGCAGGCUUGGAAGAACAUUCUUCUCCGGUGGACAAGGAGCCCCACUGCCCAGGGGGAAGGAGGCUGGCGCUGCGCUCUCCGUGGCAAUUAGGAGGUGUUGGCCUAGAAAAUUUCCAGCCACAGAGAAGUUAGAAGUUAUAAUAUGUCGAGAGUCAGAAUAAAGAAGGAACAAGAGAAAGAUCAAAUGGGGAAAUCCUCAAAGCCAAUCUCCUUCUCAGGUCGUUUUAAAUCAAUAGGAGAAAAACAGAACUUGAUUCUUCCAGUAAUAGAAAAUGGCUAAGACUUAGCAACCCUAAUUCCAGUGAAGCUGAUCACCCAGAACCUGAGCGCUGCAGGGGACUUUUCUAGGGUCCAAACAGAGGGCAUCAAUGCCAGAAGCUAGGCCGACUGAUGUCUGUCGCCUCUAUAUAACUUAACCUUAAAAAGAAGUCCACUGGGAUUUGGAUGCUGCUUCUACAUUUUUCCUCUACUUGUAUUUCCAUGAUCAGUGGAUCCUGAAUACAUGCUUAAAGAAUAAAUGAGACAGUCAUAUCACCAAGAUCACGACUGUUGAACUAAGGGGCCAACUGAUUUUGUAUGAUGAUGAAACAAACUGCCACUGUUGAUUCGGGAGCCACACCUAAAGGACUUUGGUUGUUACCUUGCCAGUUAUCAUAGACCAGUGACCAUCUCUCUUCUUAACGACGAUGGUAGGACCUAAAAUCUUCGUGAAUGCCCUCAGAUGUCCCAGUGUUGAGGACAUUCAUAAAUUGUGCUUGGAAAACCACUGGGCCUGGGAGUGGUGUCUUUCCUUUGGCUUGGUGGCGGACACUGCCGACUGCUUACUCAAUGUCCAAUGGAGCUGCAAUUAUUUUUUUAGGGUGGCAAUGUGCCCAGAUAAAAACAGGCACUUCCCUUCCCCAGCUUCCACUGCCCUUAGAGGCGAGCCAUGAAACACAGACCUGGCCAAGGAGUUGGUGGUGGGAGUUCCUGGGGGGAGAGAGUCUCCGACACUCCCCCAUUUCCUGAAAAAAGCAAAAACAAAAAACCCCCAGUCUUGUAAGGCUUUUCACCAGGCUCUUCUUCCUGGGACGUCUAGAGGUAGAACAACCCUCUUCAACCAUGCAGAUGAAAGCCACCUGAUAAGGGUGGCGAGCAGAAAAUCAGGAGGGGGCCAGGUCCUCACGCAGCUGCGCCAGCCCCGUACCACCUGUUUCUGAAUUCCUGUAUUAGGUGAAAAAAAUCCCCAUUUGGUUAAGUCACUGUGGUUAAACUGAGCAUAAUUCUGACUAUAAAGGCUUAAAGUAUACAAAAGUUUCACCCCACUGUGGCAGUUUAUCUCCAUUAUGCAAAACAAUAUCAAGGUCAUUAAAAGUACUCUAAGGAGAUAAUGCAUAAUUAAAACAGCAGCUUACAUUUAUGGAAGAUUUACUCUUGUCCUAGGCACUGUACUAUGCAGUUUACACAUAUUUAACCUUAUACAGCACUAGGCAUUAGGUACUAUUGUUACCACUUCACAAAAAAAAGGCUUGUCAGACUCAGGGAGGUUGAACAAUGAAUUCAAGGUCACCCAGCUGGUAAGGGACAGCCGAUCCCAAAUCCAGGUCUGCCCGCCUCCAAAACCCAUACCCCUCACCACUCAUUGUAUUUUACUACAAGAUCAAAGAAGAAAAUCUCUGGGUUCUGGUUUAUUCUGCCAGUGACAAAUCUCUCUACUACAAUCUCGAUUUAUUCUACAUUAAAUUUUCCCGGUAUUCACAAACUGUAAGGAAUAAGCAUCUGUAAUUACAUACAUUUAAAGGGGGGCUUUACUGGGGGCAACCCAGGGCUUCCUCCAGGACUCAGGCCGGGAGGCGGCGGGGACCCACGCCUCUGCCUCGUCUCGCGCCUGAUUUCCUCUCGGCUCCUUCCUACAUCCUUACUGCUGCCGGGUUGGGGCAUAUAAGGCUCUGAGCACCAAUUAUGUAAAGUUUAAUUACAUAACUCCUUUCAGGCCAGUCUUCACUUGUCCCAGAGUAAGACCCUAGGAUGACUCCUCUUUCAGCUCUUCCCAGUGGGGGGAAAGAACAGGGAUCCCAGCGUGGAGCUGUCCCACCGCUGUCGGCAGUGACGGUGGAUCUUUAAAUCCAAGAGUUUUCUUCUACAAAUUAUUAUAAAGUAUGGGCCUAUGUAAGAACAUCCUGAGGGAAAUUAGCAUUGUUGGGGCAGACAGGGGCAUUCCCUCUGUAUUCUCUUGUUUAUUGUGAAAUAGUGCUCAGUAUCAAUUUAUUGAAUAAAUGAAGGAAUGCAUAAAAGUAGCAGACCACCGUUGUUAAGUAUUGGACCUUCCUGAAAUAUUCUAAAGCAUGAAAUUUCAGACUUCCUAAAAUACUAAAAAAUUCAGACAUUCUAAAAUGCUAAAAAUGUCAUGCCUGUUUACUCCUAAAAUUGUAUGGCAUGCUUUUCAUUACACCUAUACAGUAUUUAAAAAACAUUUAGUAUGUUUCUUUUUAAAUUCAAGUCAGUCGUUUCCAAAUAUUAUUCAAGUAACCCCCUAGGGAUUCUGCAGCUCCCUUCACUAAGAUUGGCAUGCACUUAUAUUAUCAAUUAUUCUAGUCCCCUCUUCUUAUGGACAAGCCUGGAUCUUAUCAUCUGUUCCUUUAAGAUUUCUAAAUUUCCUUAAAGCCUUAUCAGCUCCCAGACACUGCAAUACUAUGUGUGACUACAUCCAGUUUUGAAUUUUCAGUCUCCUCUCUCUCUACUCCUGAUCUAUUGAAUUCUGUUUUAAAAGAAAAUAUAACUGUUCUAUUUUGCCUUUCCCUUGACCCUGGGUUUUAGUACAUUAUAAAAUUUAUGUUAAGUGUGGCAAAUUUAACAUUUUAAGGCAACACCAGUCACAGAUAUUUUCCUCUUUGACCCAGAAAUGCAAUUUUGAUUAAGUGAAGUUUUAUAUUUUUAUAUGGUGGAGUUUUCUGUUUGUUGGUUUAUUUAAUUAUUUUUCCCCAGGUAGGGACCAUUGGGGAAUAAUCUUGUUAGCUAGGAGAGAUGGGAAAGGAUCGUUAGCAUUUUCCUAUGAAAGUAUGUCAAAAUGAUUGGCAGCAUUAGUAAUUUGUUAUCAAUAUGGUAAGUAACACAACUG